UCCUCAAAUGGGUGUUUUCCAAGUGGCUUCCCGCUCACUCUGGUUCCCAGCCCUUUUCAUUCAUUCAGACGUUCAUUGGACGCUCCCUUUAUGCUAAUCUCAGCGUUGGGUGCUGGAGCUACAGAGAUGUCUGGAGUUCGGGCGAGGGAUAAACCAGGAACUAUCUAAGUUCACUUGACCCUCAUGCUAGCGGAGAGUCAGACAAGAUUACAACGUGGUCCGACCCUCCAGAGCUCUGUAAACCAAAAACUUUUGCAGUUGAGCUCUGUCGCCCUUAGCUUUCUUCUCCUUGGGUGUGAAAUGAGGUCAGGCCAAGGCCUCUGCCAGACACCUCUAAUGUCCACCUCGCAUAUACACGCCAGAGCGCGCACGUAGUUUUCUCCAGAAGUGAAAACCGCGUUGGAAUUGAGAGCCACCACUCCCCGACCCCGCACUCAAGCCAGAGAUCCCAUUUGGGCAGAGAGCUGCCAGCUUUGGGAGCCUCCCUAGGACCUCAUCGCAGCCCGUAGCCCUGUGUGAACCCAGGUGUAUAUGGGGACAGACUCUGCCCAGGUCCUUCCGUAGGCCUGGCACAGUUGAUGAUGAUGCUCGCUGCCGAAACGUACUUCAGGCGACCUGGGAAAAUCUUCAUCUUGGAAGCCCCAGAGCAAACUUGGCCCUUUGGGCAUUUAAUAGAAAGGUGCAGGGCCCGAACCUGGCCCCCUCCUUUCUACCUGCGGCACCCCUUUCUCCUCCCGCCCCCACUUUGCCCUUUCAAUUCCUAGAGAUUCCCAGAUUCUGCACUGCCUCCCGCAGGGAGCCCCAAAACCCGGAGAACUGGAAUCCGCUGCCGGAAACCUGCUGAAGGCGCUGCAGGAUCAGCGCGGCACGCGUGAGCGGCACUGCGCAUGUGCUCAAUGCGGGCAGCCCAGUCUCACGCUACCUCUCCUUCCCACCGCCUUCCACUACUCGGUUCAGACACAACACGGGCCGUGGGAAAUUUCCUAAACCUCGCGAGAACGCGCACACUGUUGCCUAUGCUUUCGCCCGAAAUCUCGCGGAGCCCAGGCGGGACAGGAUUCUUUGGCCUUGGAAAUUUGAAGUUUUGUUUUGUUUUUUUAUCUGCAAGCCCAAGUUAAGCAGAGCUUAACUUGCUUACAUGGGCAGCAGUUCAAGAAGGUGAAGCAAGAAAAAGAACGGGCCGUUUACUCUGGUGAUGCAGAACGUGAAUGGAAUCAACUGCACAUUUGAUUUCCAAACACUUGGCUUAAAUUCUACCCUCAGAAUUACUUUUGACUUCAGUAAGAGUUAUAAACUAUCAUCUGGGAGAAGCAUUUGCUGCCUACUUUUCAAGUCUAAAGUUCUCCAGAAAUGUUCUUAUGAAACACGAAUAUGAUUUUCAUCACACAGUUUUACCUACAUAGCAUCAUAUUUUCCUUCCCCAGCAAACAUUAAGUAUUUUAUUUUUAACUAGCACAACUAUAUCUAUAUUUGCAUGGUACUUUCCAAGUUUCUGAAAUAGGCAACAAAUCACAGAAUUUAGGCAAAAAAAAGGACUUAAGAACUGAAUGAUAACUUCUGAAAAACAGAUUACAUACACAAGUAUGUAGUUUUAUGCAAUAGAGGGUUUUUGAAAAAUUGUAUACCAGUCUAAUAUGCAGCAGACCAGCUUUCUAUUUAAAGAGAUACUGUGAUAUGUACUUUGUGAAGUGACAAUGAAUAUGAUUGAGUCUACAAGCCUCUCUCCAAACAUCAUCUCAGUCAGUCAGGACAAAGCUACAGGUAAGUCAUUUUAUCCCUGUUUUUACAGAUGAGGCUCAGUGAACAUGACUUGCACAAGUUAUACUUCUAGAAGUAGAAUUUGUGAUUGCUAGUGAUGCUUUAUUUUUUCGCUAUAGAAAUUUAAAUUAUUUUGUUAUUACAACUUGAUAAGAAUAUCUUGUGUCAAAUAAUCAGGGUAUCAGAUUAUAAUUUUAAUAAAUUAUUUAGAAAAAUAUAAAUGCUAAGGAAUACAAAAAGAUUUAUUUUUAAAUAGCUGGUAAUAUUUUAUAUAUAUAAAUCAAUUGUAAGAACUAGUAACAGUGAGUGGCUAAGGAUGUGUAGCCAAGGCAGGGAGAAGACCUAAUUCCCUUGUGGAUUUUUUGACAUGUUUAUUAUUUAAAAAAAUAAUUCACCAAAGACAUCACAAGAAAAGAAAACUACAGACCAAUAAAUAUAGAGAGAAAAAUCCUCAACAAAAUACUAGCAAACACCAAACAAACUAGGAAUAGAAGGAAAUUUCCUCAACUUGAUGAAGAGCAUAUAUGCAAAAUGCAGAACUAACAUCAUAUUUCAAGGUAAAAGACUGAUGCUUUCCCACUAACAUCAGGAAGAAGACAAAGAUUUCCAUUUUUACUACUACUAUUCAACAUUGUACUGAAGGUUCUAACCAGGCAAUUUGGCAAGAAAAUGAAAUAAAAGGCAUCCAGAUUUGAAAAGAAGAAGUAAAACUCUCUCUCUUUGCAGGUGACAUGAUUUUAUACAUAGAAAAUUCUAAGGACUUCACUCAAAAAGUAUAAGAACUAAUACACAAGUUCAGCAAGGUUGCAGGGUACAAUGUCAGUACACAAAAAUCAAUUGUAUUUCUAUAUAUUUGUAAUGGACAAUCCAAAAAUAAAAUUAAGAAAAUAAUCCCACUCAACAUAGCAUCAAAAAGAAUAAAAUACUUAGGAAUAAAUUUAACGAAAGAAGUGCAAUUCUUAUACUCUGAAAACUACAAAACAUUGUUGAAAGAAAUUUUAAAAGAUCUAAAUAAAUGGAAAGACGUCCCAUGUUCAGGAAUUGAAAGAUAGUAUUAUUAAGAUGGCAACACUAUCCAAAUUGAUCUACAGAUUCAGCACAAUCACUAUCAAAUCCCAACUGUCUGUUUUGCGGAAAUUGACAAGCUGUUCCUAAAAUACACGUGGAAAUUCAAGGAACACAGAAUACCCAAAACAAUCUUGAAAAAGAAGAGCUAAGUUGGAGGAUUUAUAUUUUCCCUUUUCAAAACUCACUACAAACCUAGAGUAAUCAAGACUGUGUGGUAUGGGCAUAAGGUAGGCAUAUAGGUCAGUGAGAUAGAAUUCAGAGUCCAGACUAAAUGCUCACAUUUAUGGUCAAUGGAUGUUCGACAGGAGUACUAAAACAAUCCAAAGGGGAAAAAAUAGCCUUCAACAAAUGGUUCUGGGACAACUAGAUACCCACAUGCAAAAGAUUGAAGUUGGGCCCCAAACUUCACAACAUAUAUAAAAAUUACCUUAAAAUACAUCAUAGAGGGGCUGGCCCGGUGGCGCAAGUGGUUAAGUGCGCGCCCUCUGCUGUGGCGGCCUGGGGUUCGCUGGUUUGGAUCC